GGGUUGUGAGGUUAAGCGACUAAGCGUACACGGUGGAUGCCCUGGCAGUCAGAGGCGAUGAAGGGCGUGCUAAUCUGCGAUAAGCGCCGGUAAGGUGAUAUGAACCGUUAUAACCGGCGAUACCCGAAUGGGGAAACCCAGUGUGACUCGUCACACUAUCAUUAACUGAAUCCAUAGGUUAAUGAGGCGAACCGGGGGAACUGAAACAUCUAAGUACCCCGAGGAAAAGAAAUCAACCGAGAUUCCCCCAGUAGCGGCGAGCGAACGGGGAGGAGCCCAGAGCCUGAAUCAGCAUGUGUGUUAGUGGA
rnacentral:rRNA from 1 species